AGCAGCCGCGGUAAUUCCAGCUCCAAUAGCGUAUAUUAAAGUUGUUGCAGUUAAAAAGCUCGUAGUUGAAUUUCGGAAUCAAUUUGUUGGUCGUACCUUGGUACGUACUGGCAUUAUUGGUUUCUCCCUUCUGAGAAUCCUUGAUGUCAUUAAUUUGGUGUCUUGGGGAAUCAGGACUGUUACCUUGAAAAAAUUAGAGUGUUUAAAGCAGGCAUCCGCUUGAAUACAUUAGCAUGGAAUAAUGAAAUAGGACGUUCGAUCCUAUUUUGUUGGUUUUAGGAUCAACGUAAUGAUUAAUAGGGAUAGUUGGGGGCAUUAGUAUUCAAUUGUCAGAGGUGAAAUUCUUGGAUUUAUUGAAGACUAACUACUGCGAAAGCAUUUGCCAAGGAUGUUUUCAUUAAUCAAGAACGAAAGUUAGGGAUCGAAGACGAUCAGAUACCGUCGUAGUCUUAACCAUAAACUAUGCCGACUAGGGAUCGGAUGAUGUUAAUUUUUAAUGACUCAUUCGGCGCCUUACGGG
rnacentral:rRNA from 1 species